UAGCAGCCGCGGUAAUACGUAGGGUGCAAGCGUUAAUCGGAAUUACUGGGCGUAAAGCGUGUGUAGGCGGUUCGGAAAGAAAGAUGUGAAAUCCCAGGGCUCAACCUUGGAACUGCAUUUUUAACUGCCGAGCUAGAGUAUGUCAGAGGGGGGUAGAAUUCCACGUGUAGCAGUGAAAUGCGUAGAUAUGUGGAGGAAUACCGAUGGCGAAGGCAGCCCCCUGGGAUAAUACUGACGCUCAGACACGAAAGCGUGGGGAGCAAACAGGAUUAGAUACCCUGGUAGUCCACGCCCUAAACGAUGUCAACUAGCUGUUGGGGCCGUUAGGCCUUAGUAGCGCAGCUAACGCGUGAAGUGACCGCC
rnacentral:rRNA from 1 species